UUCUAGGUUAAUUAUACGCGUACAGAAAUGCCCUCUCUCUCAUUGUAACUUCAAUUAUUUUGCAAGUACAAUGCAAUGCAGGCAGAUGCCCUUGAAUCUCCACCUCCGUGGCUACUGAUCGACUGCGAUUUUUAUUUGAAGAAGAAAGGCAGGAUUAACAGGUGGUCGGCACUGUUGUACUUGUCCACACUGAGGGGUCAUAUUCCUCAAAAGCUCAAAUCGAAAUGUACUAACAAGGAAUUGUGCAGAUGCAGCCUCAAGCUCUUUCAGCUCGAGAGAGGAAAAACCAACAACCCGCGACUAGGUCUGAUUGGAACUGCAUCCUCUGACGAUCUCUGGCCAGCGCACCAGCACCAAUACCUCCACCUCGUCGUCGCCAUCAGAUCUCCGGUCUCUGUUCGUCAAAUCGUUAAGUUUGGAGAGAGAAUUGACGGCGAGAAGCAACAACUGCUCUGAUGGUUGUGUGGUGCUUUCCGGCAACCGAUUAGGCUACAUGUGUUUCACCAUGUUCUUCAAUGCUGGCGGCCUCUCUGGUCUUUCUGGGCUCUGUCUCUUGCUCAUCUGCACUUAUAGAUCAACAAUCGAGAAGUUUGUUGAGUUGCUGUUGUGAAAAUCAUGAGUUCAUCACCAUCCCCGUCUUGGCAGUGAGUUCUUGGAACUGAGUUUGGGUCAAUUGAAGUUGAUUUUCGAUUUAAAAAGGUAUAAUCCCGACCUUGAAUCAAAGUUUUGUACUUGAUGAUAAUUAGAUGUUA